AGUUCGAUAUCUCUUAGAGUCUGCAUAAACGGGGCCUAAGUUGAUAUUGUUCUGUCAGUCAUUAUCUUUCUUGGUGCAUUUUUUUUUUACUAUGCUGAUCAAUGUAAGACAGCUCGAUAUCUCUUAGAGUCCGCAUAAACGGGGCCUAAGUUGAUAUUGUUCUGUCAGUCAUUAUCUCUCUGGGUGCAAUUUUAUCAUGCUGAUCAAUGUAAGGCAGUUCGAUAUCUCUUAGAGUCCGCAUAAACGGGGCCUAAGUUGAUAUUGUUCUGUCAGUCAUUAUCUCUCUGGGUGCAAUUUUAUCAUGCUGAUCAAUGUAAGGCAGUUCGAUAUCUCUUAGAGUCCGCAUAAACGGGGCCUAAGUUGAUAUUGUUCUGUCAGUCAUUAUCUCUCUGGGUGCAUUUUUUUUUACUAUGCUGAUCAAUGUAAGACAGCUCGAUAUCUCUUAGAGUCCGCAUAAACGGGGCCUAAGUUGAUAUUGUUCUGUCAGUCAUUAUCUCUCUGGGUGCAAUUUUAUCAUGCUGAUCAAUGUAAGGCAGUUCGAUAUCUCUUAGAGUCCGCAUAAACGGGGCCUAAGUUGAUAUUGUUCUGUCAGUCAUUAUCUCUCUGGGUGCAUUUUUUUUUACUAUGCUGAUCAAUGUAAGACAGCUCGAUAUCUCUUAGAGUCCGCAUAAACGGGGCCUAAGUUGAUAUUGUUCUGUCAGUCAUUAUCUCUCUUGGUGCAAUUUUAUCAUGCUGAACAAUGUAAGGCAGUUCGAUAUCUCUUAGAGUCCGCAUGAACGGGGCCUAAGUUGAUAUUGUUCUGUCAGUCAUUAUCUCUCUGGGUGCAUUUUUUUUUACUAUGCUGAUCAAUGUAAGACAGCUCGAUAUCUCUUAGAGUCCGCAUAAACGGGGCCUAAGUUGAUAUUGUUCUGUCAGUCAUUAUCUCUCUGGGUGCAAUUUUAUCAUGCUGAUCAAUGUAAGGCAGUUCGAUAUCUCUUAGAGUCCGCAUAAACGGGGCCUAAGUUGAUAUUGUUCUGUCAGUCAUUAUCUUUCUUGGUGCAUUUUUAUCAUGUUGAUCAAUGUAAGGCAGUUCGAUAUCUCUUAGAGUCCGCAUAAACGGGGCCUAAGUUGAUAUUGUUCUGUCAGUCAUUAUCUUUCUUGGUGCAUUUUUAUCAUGCUGAUCAAUGUAAGGCAGUUCGAUAUCUCUUAGAGUCCACAUAAACGGGGCCUAAGGUGAUAUUGUUCUGUUUGAUAUCUCCAUGCCAUGUCGCUGUUAUGUGUUUGUAUGUGUUCUGUUUGUGGUUUUGGGCCAAAGACGAACAACAUCCAAGAGACCAACAGCAGAAGGAGAAAUACAACAUAAACAACAAAAUAAAUUUAAGUACACUUUUUUUUUUUUUUAAUUAAGCUUUGUUUUAAGUAGUUAUGUCAUUUACCUUUAUCUGUUCUCAUGAAACACUGUAUUAAUACUACUACUGUUUUUUUGUUUUUUUUUUCCUGUCCUGAAGGGAAAACAGCAAGACGGAAUCGACAACAUUAAGCUAAGUGCUUUUCUUACUUAUUCAUUUUUUAUAUUUCAUGAUUUCUUACAACUGUUUAUCUGUAAACCUAAACAUUACAUAGUUUGCUGUAUGAUUAUUCUAUCAUCUCAUUAAUGAUUUUCUCUCCUUUUUUUGUUGUUUGUGCAUAAAUCUGACACCUGAUGAACACUAUAGCAAGAAGGAUGGCAGCAACCCCAAAGACCAAAGUUGGAUCAUCAGUGAGGACUACAGCAAAGAUGGCAGCCGUUCAACCUGUGAAGAAUCAGCAUUCCAACACAGGGCUUGACGUAAAAUCCUAAUUAUUUAAGACUGCACUUUCAUUGCUUUCUAUCACAUUUUGGUCAGUACUUUGUAAAGAUAUAGUAUCAAACCAGAUGACAACUAGGAAGAACGCACUGCUUGAGUUAAUUUGAGCAAAUGUUCUCAUACUGUAUGCUGUUUUCAUAAGAUGUCUCAAUAUGUUUUUUGUUUUUUUUUUCAUAGACGCCAUGUCGCUGUUGCAUCGUGAUUUUGUGCUGAAGGGGAGCAACAUCCAAGAGACCAACAGCAGAAGGAGAAACACAGCAUGAACAACAAAAUAAAUUUAAGUACACUUUUUCUUGAUUUGUUUCCAGUACUUUUGUGAUUUACUAACGAUAUAUUGUUUGUAAACAGUGUAUUAAUACUAUUGUGUAUUUUUUUCCUGUCCUGGAGGGGAACAACAAGACGGAAUCAACAACAUUAAGCUAAGUGGUCUUUUUUCUUCAAUUUCUGACAAAUGCAACAUAUUACAUCAUUGAUGUUUUGUUUGCCGUAUGCUUAUUCUGUCAUCUAAUAAUUUUCUUUUUCUCUCCUUUUUUAUUUUUUUGUUGUUUUUUGAUUGUGCAUAAAUCUGACACCUGAUGAACAAAGAAGGAUGGCAGCAACCCCAAAGACAAAAGUCGGAUCAUCAGUGAGGGAUACAGCAAAGAUGGCAGCCGUUCAGUCUGUGAAGAAUCAGCAUUCCAACACAGGGCUUGAGAAUUGGUCGCGGCAGAUGGCCACCCACCAUGAUCCGGGUUCUGCUCAAGGUUUCUGCCACAGGCAGUUUUUCCUUGCCACCGUUGCCAGGUGCUUGGUCAUGCUGGGAAUUGUAAUAGAGAUUUUUUAAACUGUCAUCACAGAACUUUAUGAUUACAACAGUAUAUUAAACACUUUGUUAAUAUCC